AAUUAAUUCACUUCGGUUAUUGUAUUAAACUGCAACGAAGCAUUGUAAUUUAUCAUUGAUUGAAUCCCUCAUACCUUCGUUAUAGGCUUGGUGUACUAGAACACAGAUUCUGUUUACCAAUGCUUAUCAUAGAGAUUAAACUAUGUCAAAUUCUACUCAACUCGACACAGGAUCCAAAAACUAAAAUGAAUAGAGUCCAACCAUACUGCAUAUCA
rnacentral:misc_RNA from 1 species